GAAAUAUACCCACUUAAGCUUCUAACUUAAAAAUAAGCGAUCAACGUUUGUAUUUCU
rnacentral:tRNA from 1 species